UAGGAGCUUAGGCUCCCAAAGGC
rnacentral:snRNA from 1 species